rnacentral:rRNA from 1 species
GUAUCAUGGCUCAGGAUGAACGCUAGCUACAGGCUUAACACAUGCAAGUCGAGGGGCAGCAUGGUCUUAGCUUGCUAAGACUGAUGGCGACCGGCGCACGGGUGAGUACACGUAUCCAACCUGCCGUCGUACUCUUGGACAGCCUUCUGAAAGGAAGAUUAAUACAAGAUGGCAGUCAUGAUCCGCAUGUUCAUAUGAUUAAAGGUAUUCCGGUAGACGAUGGGG